GGGUUGUGAGGUUAAGCGACUAAGCGUACACGGUGGAUGCCCUGGCAGUCAGAGGCGAUGAAGGGCGUGCUAAUCUGCGAUAAGCGCCGGUAAGGUGAUAUGAACCGUUAUAACCGGCGAUACCCGAAUGGGGAAACCCAGUGUGACUCGUCACACUAUCAUUAACUGAAUCCAUAGGUUAAUGAGGCGAACCGGGGGAACUGAAACAUCUAAGUACCCCGAGGAAAAGAAAUCAACCGAGAUUCCCCCAGUAGCGGCGAGCGAACGGGGAGGAGCCCAGAGCCUGAAUCAGCAUGUGUGUUAGUGGAAGCGUCUGGAAAGGCGCGCGAUACAGGGUGACAGCCCCGUACACAAAAGCGCAUGUGUUGUGAGCUCGAUGAGUAGGGCGGGACACGUGGUAUCCUGUCUGAAUAUGGGGGGACCAUCCUCCAAGGCUAAAUACUCCUGACUGACCGAUAGUGAACCAGUACCGUGAGGGAAAGGCGAAAAGAACCCCGGCGAGGGGAGUGAAAAAGAACCUGAAACCGUGUACGUACAAGCAGUGGGAGCACAGGUUUACCUGUGUGACUGCGUACCUUUUGUAUAAUGGGUCAGCGACUUAUAUUCUGUAGCAAGGUUAACCGAAUAGGGGAGCCGGAGGGAAACCGAGUCUUAAUUGGGCGUUAAGUUGCAGGGUAUAGACCCGAAACCCGGUGAUCUAGCCAUGGGCAGGUUGAAGGUUGGGUAACACUAACUGGAGGACCGAACCGACUAAUGUUGAAAAAUUAGCGGAUGACCUGUGGCUGGGGGUGAAAGGCCAAUCAAACCGGGAGAUAGCUGGUUCUCCCCGAAAGCUAUUUAGGUAGCGCCUCGUGAAUUCAUCUCCGGGGGUAGAGCACUGUUUCGGCUAGGGGGCCAUCCCGGCUUACCAACCCGAUGCAAACUGCGAAUACCGGAGAAUGUUAUCACGGGAGACACACGGCGGGUGCUAACGUCCGUCGUGAAGAGGGAAACAACCCAGACCGCCAGCUAAGGUCCCAAAGUCAUGGUUAAGUGGGAAACGAUGUGGGAAGGCCCAGACAGCCAGGAUGUUGGCUUAGAAGCAGCCAUCAUUUAAAGAAAGCGUAAUAGCUCACUGGUCGAGUCGGCCUGCGCGGAAGAUGUAACGGGGCUAAACCAUGCACCGAAGCUGCGGCAGCGAACGUAUCACCCAAGACAACUUUACGGAGUUGACGAUUGACGGAGCGAAGCGACGUCAAAGCGUUCAUUAAAGUCGAGUUGGCUUAGGGAUACGUUCGUUGGGUAGGGGAGCGUUCUGUAAGCCUGUGAAGGUGGCCUGUGAGGGGUGCUGGAGGUAUCAGAAGUGCGAAUGCUGACAUAAGUAACGAUAAAGCGGGUGAAAAGCCCGCUCGCCGGAAGACCAAGGGUUCCUGUCCAACGUUAAUCGGGGCAGGGUGAGUCGACCCCUAAGGCGAGGCCGAAAGGCGUAGUCGAUGGGAAACGGGUUAAUAUUCCCGUACUUGGUGUUACUGCGAAGGGGGGACGGAGAAGGCUAUGUUGGCCGGGCGACGGUUGUCCCGGUUUAAGCGUGUAGGUGUGUGUUCCAGGUAAAUCCGGUUCACUUUAACACUGAGGCGUGACGACGAGGCACUACGGUGCUGAAGCAACAAAUGCCCUGCUUCCAGGAAAAGCCUCUAAGCAUCAGGUAACAUCAAAUCGUACCCCAAACCGACACAGGUGGUCAGGUAGAGAAUACCAAGGCGCUUGAGAGAACUCGGGUGAAGGAACUAGGCAAAAUGGUGCCGUAACUUCGGGAGAAGGCACGCUGACACGUAGGUGAAGUGAUUUACUCAUGGAGCUGAAGUCAGUCGAAGAUACCAGCUGGCUGCAACUGUUUAUUAAAAACACAGCACUGUGCAAACACGAAAGUGGACGUAUACGGUGUGACGCCUGCCCGGUGCCGGAAGGUUAAUUGAUGGGGUCAGCGCAAGCGAAGCUCCUGAUCGAAGCCCCGGUAAACGGCGGCCGUAACUAUAACGGUCCUAAGGUAGCGAAAUUCCUUGUCGGGUAAGUUCCGACCUGCACGAAUGGCGUAAUGAUGGCCAGGCUGUCUCCACCCGAGACUCAGUGAAAUUGAACUCGCUGUGAAGAUGCAGUGUACCCGCGGCAAGACGGAAAGACCCCGUGAACCUUUACUAUAGCUUGACACUGAACAUUGAGCCUUGAUGUGUAGGAUAGGUGGGAGGCUUUGAAGUGUGGACGCCAGUCUGCAUGGAGCCGACCUUGAAAUACCACCCUUUAAUGUUUGAUGUUCUAACGUGGACCCGUGAUCCGGGUUGCGGACAGUGUCUGGUGGGUAGUUUGACUGGGGCGGUCUCCUCCUAAAGAGUAACGGAGGAGCACGAAGGUUGGCUAAUCCUGGUCGGACAUCAGGAGGUUAGUGCAAUGGCAUAAGCCAGCUUGACUGCGAGCGUGACGGCGCGAGCAGGUGCGAAAGCAGGUCAUAGUGAUCCGGUGGUUCUGAAUGGAAGGGCCAUCGCUCAACGGAUAAAAGGUACUCCGGGGAUAACAGGCUGAUACCGCCCAAGAGUUCAUAUCGACGGCGGUGUUUGGCACCUCGAUGUCGGCUCAUCACAUCCUGGGGCUGAAGUAGGUCCCAAGGGUAUGGCUGUUCGCCAUUUAAAGUGGUACGCGAGCUGGGUUUAGAACGUCGUGAGACAGUUCGGUCCCUAUCUGCCGUGGGCGCUGGAGAACUGAGGGGGGCUGCUCCUAGUACGAGAGGACCGGAGUGGACGCAUCACUGGUGUUCGGGUUGUCAUGCCAAUGGCACUGCCCGGUAGCUAAAUGCGGAAGAGAUAAGUGCUGAAAGCAUCUAAGCACGAAACUUGCCCCGAGAUGAGUUCUCCCUGAGACUUUAAGUCUCCUGAAGGAACGUUGAAGACGACGACGUUGAUAGGCCGGGUGUGUAAGCGCAGCGAUGCGUUGAGCUAACCGGUACUAAUGAACCGUGAGGCUUAACCUUACAACGCCGAAG
rnacentral:rRNA from 1 species